GGUGGCUAUAGCGGUGGGGAUCACCUCUUCCCAUUCCGAACAGAGAAGUUAAGCCCACCAGCGCAGAUGGUACUGGCCCACAAGCCGGGAGAGUAUGUCGCUGCCC
rnacentral:rRNA from 1 species